UGGGGAAUAUUGCACAAUGGGCGCAAGCCUGAUGCAGCCAUGCCGCGUGUAUGAAGAAGGCCUUCGGGUUGUAAAGUACUUUCUGCGGGGAGGAAGGGAGUAAAGUUAAUACCUUUGCUCAUUGACGUUACCCGCAGAAGAAGCACCGGCUAACUCCGUGCCAGCAGCCGCGGUAAUACGGAGGGUGCAAGCGUUAAUCGGAAUUACUGGGCGUAAAGCGCACGCAGGCGGUUUGUUAAGUCAGAUGUGAAAUCCCCGGGCUCAACCUGGGAACUGCAUCUGAUACUGGCAAGCUUGAGUCUCGUAGAGGGGGGUAGAAUUCCAGGUGUAGCGGUGAAAUGCGUAGAGAUCUGGAGGAAUACCGGUGGCGAAGGCGGCCCCCUGGACGAAGACUGACGCUCAGGUGCGAAAGCGUGGGGAGCAAACAGG
rnacentral:rRNA from 1 species